UACGGGGGGGGCAAGCGUUGUUCGGAAUUACUGGGCGUAAAGGGCUCGUAGGCGGCCAACUAAGUCCGACGUGAAAUCCCCAGGCUCAACCUGGGAACUGCGUCGGAUACUGGAUGGCUUGAAUUCGGGAGAGGGAUGCAGAAUUCCAGGUGUAGCGGUGAAAUGCGUAGAUAUCUGGAGGAACACCGGUGGCGAAGGCGGCAUCCUGGACCAAUAUUGACGCUGAGGAGCGAAAGCCAGGGGAGCAAACGGG
rnacentral:rRNA from 1 species